UCCCUCAAGCCGGAUUUGAACCGCAACCUAAGGAUCACCGUUGUAACAUCUACAGUCCUCCGCUCUGCCAACUGAGCUAUCGAGGG
rnacentral:tRNA from 1 species